CCUUUGUAGUUGAAUCAAACCAACAACCAAUAAAAUUAUUUUCUGCUAGCUAGGGAUGAAUUCGGUUAGUUAAGUUAUUCAAGAGAUGGAUACGCAGAAAUCUUUCUUGCUAGAAUAAGAAAUUCUCCAGAAGAUAGAAAUUGUAUCUAAUGAAACAUAUAAUUUAAUUGUUCUGCUAAAAUUUUGGUGUCAGUCUAUGGCAUCGCCAUCCAAGAAGUGUAGUGCCAUGUGAU
rnacentral:lncRNA from 1 species